CCCUUUUAAUCAAGAUCUUUCUCUGAAAGCAUCACCGAUCAAGAGUCAGGUAUUCUAGUUUCAAUGGCUUUUUGUCAUUCAGUGUCAGGAAGGACCUUUCCUUGGUGUAGUGUCUCAAAUCGAAGGGAAAGUACGAAGAUUAGAAACCUAUUAAGGUCACCUUUAAAUGACAAGAAGGGGUAGGAGGGAGAACUCUCAGGCCCUUUUUAUCUAAAGUUCAUAUUUUAUCAAGAUCCUAGACAUUGGAGAUCAUCUGAAGCAUUCUAUAAUCAAAAUUUUGGCAACAAGCUUCCAACAGGCCUGUUCUGGUUAUCCUGGGAAAGCUGUCUCAUCUGCUGUCAUCUGCUUCAGUUCUGGGAAAUCUUUACCUUCAGGUCACCAGAUGAUGGGCAGGUCCAAUUAGGGUUUGGCACUUUCUUUAGGUGUGUCACAUGAAUCCAAGAGUCUAUUCCUUGGAGUUCGGUGGCACAAGAGCUGGCUAGCAGUACCAGAUAGAGGCCUUUCCAUGAGGUUGAAGGAGAGUUCUUCUGGAGACGUCUUUUCAAAAUAGAUAAAAUCUCCAGGUUGCAAGGUGUGAUGCUUAAGGUCUUUUUCUCCCGAGGGCACACCGUGAAAAGAUUACCUUACCAAAACAUGGUUAUUUUUAAUAGAAACAAUUAGGGCCUUGGCGAUAUUGGAAUAGUUCUCCUUUAUCAGUUGUGGGGCAAAAGAAGCAGGAGCCAGGUUCACCGGGUGUCCUGUGACCAUCACAAAGGGUGAGAGUUUAUGAGCUCCAAGACAAGCAGAUCUGAGAUUUAGCGGGACCAAUAGCAAUGCUUUUGGUCAGGGUAGUUGGAGGGCCUCUACAGAUUUUUCCCAUUGAGUCUUCAUGAUGUUGUCAAACCAGAGGAUUGAGGGUGGUGAGCCCAAUGAAAGUGUUGUAAAAGUGACCAAACAGCACAUGUCUGUCCAAAUACCUGGCAAAUAAAAUGUGUUCCUUGAUCAUUAUGAAGUUUGAGAGGAGUUCCCCAGACAGGGAGAAUCUUUUCCAGGAGGACUUUAGCUACAGAAGAGGCAGUAGUCUGUCUGCAAAGGAAGGCUUCAGUUUGGUGUGAAAACAUACAGACCAUGACUGAAAUAUAUUUAUAUCCAUUAGAUGGAGAAGUUGCAUCAAAUCCAUUUGCCAGGCCUUGAACUGUCCAUCUGGCAGUUUAAAAUGUCUGGGAACGAUACAAACAGGCUUCCCUGGGUUGCACUUUGGACAAGCGGGACAAGUGAGGUUCUGUCUAGAGCUUCACCAGUUCCCAGCCUUGGCUGCACAUUGGAAGAACUCCCAACACCUGGACCCAUCUCCAGAGAUCCUGAUUUAAUUGCUCUGAGGGAGGCCUGGAAAGCACAGGCUCCGGACGCGCAGGCUCAGCG